GAUGAACGCUGGCGGCGUGCCUAAUACAUGCAAGUCGAGCGAACGGACGAGAAGCUUGCUUUUCUGAUGUUAGCGGCGGACGGGUGAGUAACACGUGGAUAACCUACCUAUAAGACUGGGAUAACUUCGGGAAACCGGAGCUAAUAUCGGAUAAUAUUCUGAACCGCAUGGUUCAAAAGUGAAAGACGGUCUUGCUGUCACUUAUAGAUGGAUCCGCGCUGCAUUAGCUAGUUGGUAAGGUAACGGCUUACCAAGGCAACGAUGCAUAGCCGACCUGAGAGGGUGAUCGGCCACACUGGAACUGAGACACGGUCCAGACUCCUACGGGAGGCAGCAGUAGGGAAUCUUCCGCAAUGGGCGAAAGCCUGACGGAGCAACGCCGCGUGAGUGAUGAAGGUCUUCGGAUCGUAAAACUCUGUUAUUAGGGAAGAACAUAUGUGUAAGUAACUGUGCACAUCUUGACGGUACCUAAUCAGAAAGCCACGGCUAACUACGUG
rnacentral:rRNA from 1 species